ACCCUAUUUGCGCCAUGGGAUCUGAGCACUGAUCUUGAUAGUAGCAGAAAAAGAAACAGUGCUACUGAGGCUGGCCUCCCAGGGCUCAUCUGUCAUGUAGCACAGGGGUUAGUUUCAAACAAGG
rnacentral:snoRNA from 1 species